rnacentral:lncRNA from 1 species
UUAGACACUGUCGCUUAUUUUCAGAAGCUGUAGAUGAAUGCCAAGAAUGCAUGGGGGACAAGGUUGAUUUAUUGGUGAGGCUGGGCUUGUUAAAGUUGGUAAAUGCAGUAUCUGGUCUGAUACAAGAAGGGUUGCCUGAAACUCUGCAGCUGAACUUUUUUAGACUAAGGGCUACUCAGGCAAAAAAUCCAAAAGAUCAUCAUAAUAGCUACCAGGUGUGUUACUCUAUCUCAUUCUCCUCUCCCUCUCUAGGAAGGAAAAUAAAGAGGUUCUGAGAUGAGAAAUGCUCUUAUUUUGAUAUCUUGCCCUUUGAUGAUCUACUUAUUGAC